UGUUGAGCACAUGCUGCAAGUCGUCGAGCUGGAGGGAGAGAAGGGCGCUUUGGUGGUGACUUCACUGACACCAACAACUUCCUGACGCAACGCUACUGUAACAGCGGCGGGGAAACAGGGAGCUCACCUUUUUAUCCGAUGAACCAACACGAUCCUAUUUCUGCAUAGUAAGCCGUCUCAGCUCACCCUCCCCUCUGUUCCAAGAACAGUGACGGGUUCUUUGCAUCAAAGAGUAGUCUGCUCGUGCUUACAUUUUUACAUCAAGGGGGGGAAGUCUCACUCCUUGUACCGUACUUGUUGCAUUGCUUUAGUGUCCUCUUUGUGCUGGAAAGCAGGAAAUCAAAUUACCUGACCUGUACGGAAUGCCCAACAUGUCCUUCCAUCUUUUUUUGUCUGAUGAAAUCCACCCAGAGAAAGUGAACUUUUUCUGCGUUCAAUAAUCUGUGACAAAAAGUAACCUGUCAAGAGGAGCAAUAAAAGGAUGGCAUACAAUCUCAAAUUCAGCCUUGCUCUGCUGCUGAAUUGAACGGCGAGUUCGUUUAAUAGCGAGGAGGUUUUUUGAGUGGACGGCUUUAAGUGUUUACUAUACUCUUUGCUGGUGGUAACGCAUUACUGAGCAUCUCGUUACCGCCCUGUACUAUCCGGGAACGAGCAGAGUUUGAAGUCGAAAGGCGUGUAGGCUGCGUGCGUUCGCGUUUUUGAAGACCGUCUCGUCGAAGUAAGAGAAACCCCGAGAGUUUUACUGACAGCAAAAAGAGGAAGCAUCUAUUCGAUAUGUAGUUCGGAGAAAUUCAAGUUACCGAGCCGGGCUAUGCAAAUGUCCCCGUUCCUCUACGCGCGCACGGGCGCACCGACCUGUAGUAGCCUGAUCUUGGAUAGCCUAUCGGACCCGGGCACCGUGUGCAGUGUGUUUCACUUUGAAGGGAUGCUCGUCGUCCCAGACACGUGAGCUGAGAGAUGAGACGACUUUAUCGCGGAUUUGGAUGGGGGGUUUUCUGUGCGUUAAUGGCCAGCCGUGCGAACUAGGCUAUGGUGCGCUCAGAUGUUUUUUUUUUUCUUUCUCUCUCUCGGUCGCUCUCUGAAUCCACCGCUCCGCCUCCCCCCUUUUCGCAACAUUGACGCAACCAAAAAUACUGGAACAAAAGAAACAACUUCCUUGAAGCUUUGCUGAAACUGCACUUAGUCGGAGAAUGGAAGCUUGUUGUCAACUUGCCUGGAUGGAAACGUCGAGGUGAGGGUGUCACCAGCGGCCGGCUGGCAGCGAGAGAGAUGCAGUCGAAACGCACCCAGGCUAUCGAAUGGAGAGCCUGCUUCCCUGCUAUAGAAGUGGACAACAGACUGAGCGUCUGUAGGUAGAUAAGUGAUAGGUAAAAAGUUUGUAUCUGUAAAUGUGUGAUAAGGAUUAGAAACCUGGAGGAUGAAGAGAGUGCAAAUAAUGCAGAAGAUGAACUAAGUCUCAAGCAGAGAGGCCAUGACUGCAGUUCUGGUGAUGCUGUAGCAGCACGGAAUGGUUUGUGGGUUACACUGAGAUGCAGGCCAUACUGUGCUGCCGCAGUAAAGCUUGAAUAUACAACAUGGUCAUCGCCUCACCAUAACCUCCAUAACAUGUCGUACUCUUUCAGUGAAGAUUAAAGGUCACAUGCCACCACUUUUUUCAUUUUCUACAGUUUUUACAUUCUGAAUUAAUGUCACAUAAAUAAUUGUCUUCCACGUGAUAAAAACUUGGUUGGAUAUCUGCUGGUAGCCUUACUGUAGCAGCACGUAAAUAUUGGAGUUAAAACUCUAGCUGAAGCCUCCAGUAUUGAUCGUGCUGCUGAAGCAAAGCUGACCACUCACAAUCUGCACAACUAACCACCACCGAGUGUACUCAGACCACCCCGGUGGUGCAAACAGUGGCUAUGCUUGAGAGAUGUUUACAUGAGCAAUGUUUACACACGCAUUCUUGGUUAGUCUUCAACACUGUCUUAUAUUGAUGGUUAAAAUGUGUAUAUACCAUUUUAUUACACACUGUUAUGUCUGCAUACUUUGAUAAAUAAAAAUUUGAAUUGA